rnacentral:rRNA from 1 species
GACAGAGGCCUCAAGCGUUAGGCGGAAUCACUGGGCUUAAAGCGUGUGUAGGCGGACGCCCAAGUACCUUGUGAAAUCCCACGGCUCACCCGUGGAACCGCUGGGUAUACUGGGCGUCUUGGGCCAUUCAGGGGCAACUGGAACAAGCGGUGGAGCGGUGAAAUGCGUAGAUAUCGCUUGGAACGCCGACGGUGAAACCAGGUUGCUGGGAAUGUGCCGACGCUGAGACACGAAAGCCAGGGGAGCAAACGGG